GCAGACGACAGAGACUAGUUAA
rnacentral:rRNA from 1 species